UAGGUUGGGGUCGGCGACCCGAUGGGUAUGCCGAUCUCACACAUCAUGACCUCUGGGAUGAGCGGCAUCAGGGCGGCGGGCGACCUCGUUGCCAGGAUGG
rfam:Bioreactor metagenome PBDCA2_FIDWTPW02R8JO6, whole genome shotgun sequence.